UAAUAGCUGAUGAAAUUAUCAUACUGUCUCGUCAAGACAAAUUUACAAAAACUUUGUGCUAUUAA
rnacentral:tRNA from 1 species